AUUGAACGCUGGCGGCAUGCUUUACACAUGCAAGUCGGACGGCAGCACAGAGAAGCUUGCUUCUUGGGUGGCGAGUGGCGAACGGGAGAGUAAUAUAUCGGAACGUACCGAGUAAUGGGGGAUAACUAAUCGAAAGAUUAGCUAAUACCGCAUAUUCUCUGAGGAGGAAAGCAGGGGACCUUCGGGCCUUUCGUCAUUCGAGCGGCCGAUAUCUGAUUAGCUAGUUGGUGGGGUAAAGGCCUACCAAGGCGACGAUCAGUAGCGGGUCUGAGAGGGUGAUCCGCCACACUGGAACUGAGACACGGCCCAGACUCCUACGGGAGGCAGCAGUAGGGAAUUUUGGGCAAUGGGCGCAAGCCUGAUCCAGCCAUGCCGCGUGUCUGAUGAAGGCCUUCGGGUUGUAAAAGACUUUUGUCAGGGAAGAAAAGGCUGUUGCUAAUACCGACAGCUGAUGACGGUACCUGAAGAAUAAGCACCGGCUAACUACGUG
rnacentral:rRNA from 1 species